UACGGGGGGAGCAAGCGUUGUUCGGAUUUACUGGGCGUAAAGGGCGCGUAGGCGGCGCAACAAGUCACUUGUGAAAUCUCCGGGCUUAACCCGGAGCGGUCAAGUGAUACUGUCGUGCUAGAGUGCGGAAGGGGCUACUGGAAUUCCCGGUGUAGCGGUGAAAUGCGUAGAGAUCGGGAAGAACAUCGGUGGCGAAAGCGCUCUGCUGGACUGCAACUGACACUCAGGGACGAAAGCUAGGGGAGCGAAUGGG
rnacentral:rRNA from 1 species